rnacentral:rRNA from 1 species
CCUACGGGAGGCAGCAGUGGGGAAUCUUGCACAAUGGAGGAAACUCUGAUGCAGCGAUGCCGCGUGAGUGAAGAAGGCCUUUGGGUUGUAAAGCUCUUUUGUAGGGGAAGAUAAUGACUGUACCCUAAGAAUAAGGUCCGGCUAACUUCGUGCCAGCAGCCGCGGUAAUACGAAGGGACCUAGCGUAGUUCGGAAUUACUGGGCGUAAAGCGCGCGUAGGCCGUUGAGUUAGUUAAUUGUGAAAUCCCAAAGCUUAACUUUGGAACUGCAAUUAAAACUGCUCGACUAGAGUUUGAUAGAGGAAAGCGGAAUACAUAGUGUAGAGGUGAAAUUCGUAGAUAUUAUGUAGAACACCAGUUGCGAAGGCGGCUUUCUGGAUCAACACUGACGCUGAGGCGCGAAAGUAUGGGUAGCAAAGAGGAUUAGAUACCCUCGUAGUCCAUACCAUAAACGAUGAUUGCUAGAUGUUGGAAAUUUAUUUUCAGUAUCGCANUACNCAUANANAUCNCUGGNGACGACGCGAGUAAAGUAAAGAAGUAGAGNGUGAGAGNGCGAGACGACGACGAGGAGAGG